AACCUAGCACACCUGCGGUGUGUACCUGCGGAGGGAUCAUUACAAGUGACCCCGGUCUAACCACCGGGAUGUUCAUAACCCUUUGUUGUCCGACUCUGUUGCCUCCGGGGCGACCCUGCCUUCGGGCGGGGGCUCCGGGUGGACACUUCAAACUCUUGCGUAACUUUGCAGUCUGAGUAAACUUAAUUAAUAAAUUAAAACUUUCAACAACGGAUCU
rnacentral:misc_RNA from 1 species